GUAAAUGUUUUCACUUCUAAAAGAACUUCUCUUAAUAUAUGUUCAUAAAAUGUUUCAUGAGUGGAAUAAUACUAUUUUUAUCAAAUCCAUUUCUGCGAACAAAUGCUACAGUUUUCUUAGCAGGAACGGUGAGAUAAAACCCGCUUAAGAUAGGGAUUUAAGGGCGUGAAAUAUAACCGAGGUUUGGAUUCUCACGGUAAACAUACAAAGAUGAUUCAAACAAGUAAGCAAGCAUAGAAGGCACAAGCAAGCAAGCAUUCAUGGAGUGAUAAAUAAAGUUUGAGGAUUACCGAUCGGAGACCCUCCGAUGGUUCUUCAAUGGUGGCGCCAAUUCAAUAUAGUAAGUAAUUCUUUAAUUUGUCUUUCAUUUCUUCUUCAUCCCUUUUUUUCUUCCAUUUAUUUUCUUGUUGUUGUUGUUGAUCUUUUGGUGCUUGAAUCAUGAAAAACUAUGAAGUGAAGUAUGAUGAGGGUUUAUGCUCAAGUUGAGUGAAGUUUCAAUGUGAAGCUUUAACAACCAUGGAUUUGAGUUAUAGUGACAGAUUGAAUAAUGAAGAAAUGAAGAGUAAAAACUUGAGAGAAAGUGAAGCAUGAGUGAAAUCAAAAAGUGAAGAAGAAGCUCCUUAAUGAGUGAAUGAUUAAUGCUUAUAUAGAAUUAGGUGAGGGAUGAUUAGAGGUUUAAAAUUGAUUAGAAAUUAGUUGGGGUUGUUUUGGGCACUUUGGGCAAUUGCUCAAAGUGGUUAGAAGUUAGUUAAUGGGAGUUUAAGGUAGUUAGGAUAGUUAAAGCAUGGAUGUAUGUGAAUUUGCAUGCAUGUGCAUAUGUUGAAUUUUUAGUGAAUAUGUGGGAAAUUGAAUGAACUUACAUGAAAUCACUUGAACACAUGUUUGGGUAUUUAUAGUGUAUAAAUGAAUGACUUAUAGAUGCAUUUGGAUUGAUGUUCAUCGAUGAAAUCAUGUAUUACAUGAAUGCUGGAAAAAAAAUUAAUGCACAUGAUUUAUGAGGUUUUACUUGUUGUAUAGAAGUGAAAUGGAAGUGAUACAUAGUGUGGAAUUUAUAUU